GAUGAACGCUGGCGGCGUGCUUAACACAUGCAAGUCGAACGAAGCACUCAUGACAGAUUCUUCGGAUGAUGGAUUGAUUGACUGAGUGGCGGACGGGUGAGUAACGCGUGGGUAACCUGCCUCAUACAGGGGGAUAACAGUUAGAAAUGACUGCUAAUACCGCAUAAGCGCACAGUACCGCAUGGUACGGUGUGAAAAACUCCGGUGGUAUGAGAUGGACCCGCGUCUGAUUAGCUAGUUGGUGGGUAACGGCCCACCAAGGCGACGAUCAGUAGCCGGUCUGAGAGGAUGAACGGCCACAUUGGGACUGAGAUACGGCCCAGACUCCUACGGGAGGCAGCAGUGGGGAAUAUUGGGCAAUGGGGGAAACCCUGACCCAGCAACG
rnacentral:rRNA from 1 species